rnacentral:rRNA from 1 species
AUUGAACGCUGGCGGCGUGCCUAACACAUGCAAGUCGAGCGGUAACAGGUGUAGCAAUACAUGCUGACGAGCGGCGGACGGGUGAGUAACGCUUGGGAAUCUGCCUAUUAGUGGGGGACAACCCGGGGAAACUCGGGCUAAUACCGCAUACGCUCUACGGAGGAAAGCCGGGGACCGCAAGGCCUGGCGCUAAUAGAUGAGCCCAAGUCGGAUUAGCUAGUGGUAGGU